rnacentral:rRNA from 1 species
GGUAAGCUGUGGCCAGCAGCCGCGGUAAGACGGAGGGGGCAAGAGGUAAUCGGAUUUACUGGGCGUAAAGGGCGGGUAGGUGGUAAGGCAAGUAAGAUGUGAAAGCCCUGGGCUUAACCGGGGAAGUGCAUCUUAAACUGCCUAACUAGAGGAUGGUAGAGGGUAGCGGAAUUUCCGGUGUAGCGGUGAAAUGCGUAGAGAUCGGAAGGAACGCCAGUGGUGAAGACGGCUACCUGGACCAAUACUGACACUGAGGCGCGAAAGCGUGGGGAUCAAACAGGAUUAGAUACCCUAGUAGUC